rnacentral:rRNA from 1 species
AACGCGAAGAACCUUACCUGGGCUUGAACUACUGGUGGUAAGUCUUUGGAAACAUGGACUGACCCGCAAGGGAGCCAGCAGAGGUGCUGCAUGGUUGUCGUCAGCUCGUGUCGUGAGAUGUUGGGUUAAGUCCCGCAACGAGCGCAACCCCUACUCGAUGUUGCCACUCCCGCAAGGGAAGCACUCUUCGAGAACUGCCUUCGAUAAGAAGGAGGAAGGUGGGGACGACGUCAAAUCCUCAUGGCCCUUAUGUCCAGGGCUACACACGUGCUACAAUGGCCGGUACAACGGGAAGCAAUACCGCAAGGUGGAGCAAAACCCUAGAAACGCCGGCCCCAGUUCAGAUCGUGGGCUGAAACUCGCCCACGUGAAGGCGGAAUCGCUAGUAAUCGCGAAUCAGCAGGUCGCGGUGAAUACGUUCCCGGGCCUUGUACGACACCGAGUACUA